GGUUGCGAUCAUACCAGCACUAAUGCACCGGAUCCCAUCAGAACUCCGCAGUUAAACGUGCUUGGGCGAGAGUAGUACUAGGAAGGUGACCCCCCUGGGAAGUCCUCGUGUUGCAACCC
rnacentral:rRNA from 1 species